GACGAACGCUGGCGGCGUGCUUAACACAUGCAAGUCGAACGGAAAGGCCCUGCUUUUGUGGGGUGCUCGAGUGGCGAACGGGUGAGUAACACGUGAGUAACCUGCCCUUGACUUUGGGAUAUCUUCAGGAAACUGGGGCUAAUACCGGAUAGGAGCUCCUGCUGCAUGGUGGGGGAUGGAAAGUUUCGGCGGUUGGGGAUGGAAUCGCGGCUUAUCAGCUUGUUGGUGGGGUAGUGGCUUACCAAGGCUUUGACGGGUAGCCGGCCUGGGAGGGUGACCGGGCACAAUGGGACUGAGAUAGGGCCCAGACGCGUACGGGAGGCAGCGGUGGGGAAUAUUACACAAUGAGCGGGAGCCUGAUGCAGAAGCGCCGCGUGCGGGAUAACGGGCUUCGGGUUGUAAACCGCUUUCGCCUGUGACGAAGCGUGAGUGACGGUAAUGGGUAAAGAAGCACCGGCUAACUACGUG
rnacentral:rRNA from 1 species